AGGACUGUGGACUCUGGCUACAACCAGGAGGUAAGGGAAGACGGGGGUUAGAACGGGCCGGAGCACUCAGGAAAGCUUCCUGGAGGAGGGAUGUGAAGUGGGUCUUGAAAGACUGAGGUUCCCAUCCUGGCUGCCUUGUUGAAACCCUGUGCAAAUGGAGAACUUGAAAAACUGCUCCUGCCUGGAUCCCAGCCCAGAGAGUCUGAUUCCAUUAGUCUGAGGUCAUUACGUUGCGCAGCCAGGACCCAGGACUGCCCAACUCAGGGUUUGACAACGAGUAUGUCAGCAGUGGAACAGAUGGGGCCCAAGCUUCAGCUCCAACACUAAGGUGCAGAAGUGUUGGGACUUCUAUUCUGGCGCCUGGCACUGUGAUGAUCUGUGCUGUCCUCCACAUAGUUGGAGUCUUCCCUCCCUUGGCACUGGUUACCAGUGCCUGAUGUUCUGCUCGACAGGAUCUCAGCGGGUAAGCACGUGGGUGCUAGUGUCAGGAAGACUGAGGACUGGGGUGACCAACUUGUCCCAUUUUGCCUGUGACGUUUCCAGCCAUGACCCUGAAAGUCUGGUGUCCUAAGCAUACCAACACCGUUGGUCACCCAGCCUGGGGCUAACUAGCUGUGGGAAUUUGUUCAAGUUACCUAACCUCUCUGUGCCUUAGGUUCCUCCUCUGUAAGUAAGAUGGGUAUGAAAACAAUUCCUACUUUGUAGAAUUUUUGUGAGGAUUAAACAAGUGAGUUUCUAUAAAGGACCGAGCUCAGUGCCUGGUAUGUUCAACAAAUAUUAGCUACAAAUAACAACAUUAUAUAAGAUAUGUAGACUUUUUCUGGGUGGUCCCAAGAGGGAAAGCUUGACCAAUCUGCUCAGUAUUAGGAGAAAUUUCCUCACGGGUCAUGGGGUACUAACUUGCUAAGAUGUUCAAAUAUAGGCUGAUUGGGGCCUGCUUUGUGAAAUGGAAGAUAAGACUACUUUCCUCCUGGUACUGCAAUGCCUUAGUUCUCUGAUACAAUCAUCUCACCCUUUUCUCUUUUUUUUCCCUGAGGAGGGAGCUAGCUUGUCAGAGGGAGCUGUCCCUUCUCUCUUCAUCCCGAAUUCCUGUCGUGGAAGACCACUCAGAGCUGCUUAAAUAACGACAGGGAGACAUUCCAGCCAUGACUCCAAUGAUCAGCAUUAUGCCAAAGGCAGAGGCAACACGCAUGGCUCCCCGCUGUCCUGGCUGACAGGGCUGCCACUGAUUCUAGAAGAGGAGCUUCCAGUCCUGGCUGGACCCCCAUCAGCCACUGCUCUACUGUGUGUGUGUGUGUGUGUGUGUGUGUAGAGAGAGAGAGAGAAAUGGCUCUGCAAAAGUCUCAUGUGAUAUGUGCAAAGUUCCAGACUGCUUCCCUUCCCUCGCCUUGUUCUUUCCUGUCAUUCCCCAAUCUCACACCCUCUCCUCACUCCCACUUCUACCCCUGCCCACUACAUGGUCCUCUCAGGCCAAGCAGCGUAGCUGAAGACAAUGCUGAGGCAAUUACUAGAGCCCUUUGAGUACUUCUCACUAGAAAGCUCUUUAACUCAGCCACGUGAGUUGGGGCUCCAGGCACCUGAUAGGGAUGGGGGAGAAGA